rnacentral:rRNA from 1 species
GACGAACGCUGGCGGCGUGCUUAACACAUGCAAGUCGAACGGAAAGGCCCUGCUUUUGUGGGGUGCUCGAGUGGCGAACGGGUGAGUAACACGUGAGUAACCUGCCCUUGACUUUGGGAUAACUUAAGGAAACUGGGGCUAAUACCGGAUAGGAGCUCCUGCUGCAUGGUGGGGGUUGGAAAGUUUCGGCGGUUGGGGAUGGGCUCGCGGCUUAUCAGCUUGUUGGUGGGGUAGUGGCUUACCAAGGCUUUGACGGGUAGCCGGCCUGAGAGGGUGACCGGCCACAUUGGGACUGAGAUACGGCCCAGACUCCUACGGGAGGCAGCAGUGGGGAAUAUUGCACAAUGGGCGGAAGCCUGAUGCAGCAACGCCGCGUGCGGGAUGACGGCCUUCGGGUUGUAAACCGCUUUCGCCUGUGACGAAGCGUGAGUGACGGUAAUGGGUAAAGAAGCACCGGCUAACUACGUG